AAACAAAAAAGGAAAAGAAAAAACGACCAAACGAAAAUUGUCAUUAGUGGUUCCGGCAUCUUCCAAUGUGCUUCGCUCGUGCCAGCAGUCGUCGAGCAGAGAAAAACGCUGCUAAAGCCGCAGCAAGCCGGUGAGAAAACGGCCAGCAGACAAAUUCUGCUCACGACGCUCGCGGCACAAGGAGAACGGAAAAAGCCACUUGAAAAGGGAACCAACCAGCAGACAAUUUCGGCUCGAAACGCUCGCGGCACUCGAAGGCGGAGCUAACCUGUACGGAAAAAACAGGAAAAGGCACCGCACAAAGAAGCCCCUAACAAAAGGGGCUUCUUUUUCUUUCUUGUCCUUUUCGUUUUUCUUCUUUCCUUAAGGGAAAUUGGUUACGGCACAACAGCACGCCUGAGCAAGGGCACGCGGAAGUGCAACUUCUGGUUUUUUGCCCCAACAAUCAACGGGCUUUCCUGGUCUCCAUCCAAGGAUUCAUAGUUAGAACCACAACACCUGUAGAUUCCAGAAGAGCGGUGCCUGGGACUCUACUAGGUCAGCUCUGACCUCUUUCCUGCCAUCUUGUGACAAAAUUGUAUCGCGAGCUACGACAUCAGUGGAUUCUUGGCGAGCGGCGACCCGCACACUACAGAAUCAUUCGUGGUGCCCGCCCCGCUUCGCUGUCAGGUCGUCGGUGAGCCAAAAUACCAACGGUUUCCAGGAGGACGGAGUCUGGGGUCCAAGGAGGCAACAUUUUGGUCCAUUUUGGUCCCAUCAAGGCCAGGUUCCCGGUGUACGGUCACGCCAGCAGCAUCCAGAGGGGCGUGGGUCCAACUUGGUUUCUCCGAAGCCAAUUGUCUUGUCACGGUCGCCACACCUGUCCUGUCAGCGGAUGAAAGAACACCGAGGCAACAUUGACGAGAACUCAAGGCGAUGUCCGGGAGUUCGUUCCGGAUUCAUCAAUUCAGCGAUGGACGAACAAGAAUGCCGCGGAAUUGUAGUUCGAAAGUGCGAUCCUCGGAAGUCCAUCUACCAAAUCCGUCUCUGCGUCAGUGAAGCGACAUCUGGUGUCAGGAUGACCAACUAGGAUGAUUCGGCAACCAGGCUUUUCGAGCCUUUCAACAAGACAUUGAGGGAGUAGACAACUUUGAAACUGCAAAAUUAAAUAACACAAUGGUUUGACAAUACAAAUUACGAAAAUGAACACAAACAAAUUUAUGAAUUG